GACGUCGAUAUUCGACGUCAUAAACACGAUCAAGUUUGGUGUUUAUGACGUCGAUAUUCGACGUCAUAAACCCGAUCAAGUUUGGUGUUUAUGACGUCGAUAUUCGACGUCAUAAACACGAUCAAGUUUGGUGUUUAUGACGUCGAUAUUCGACGUCAUAAACACCAUCAAGUUUGGUGUUGAUGACGUGGAUAUUCGACGUC